rnacentral:misc_RNA from 1 species
AAAAAUAAUGAUAUAUAUUCUUAAAUUAUAUAAAUAUAAUAUCUUUAUAAAUUAACAUAAUAGCAUUAUAGUGAAACAACUACAGGACUAAAACGAUUUAGAAUGAAAGAGAAGAUCUGCAGAAAGAAAGUCUCAAAAACUUUGGUCUUGACUCUCUUCAACUAUAAGCUCACCAUUUUUAAUCCUAUUGUGCUGCUGCUGCGGCAACGCGCAGGCCCCUUUCUAGCGAAGUUACUAUAACUGUAAA